rnacentral:lncRNA from 7 species
CUAUUGCUACAUUUGUUGUAUGCACUGCAUAGAGUUCUUCCAAAUGGUACAAAGGAUGUGAACAAAAUGACUUCCUGUGUUAACACAUACUUCAAAUGUCAAGUUAGGUCCACCAGGAAAAAGCAUGCUUCAUUCAAAUGGAGGGACAGACACAGAACAGAAACCCAGAUCCGGAAUCUGGUGAGAACAGGAAGGGAAAAGAGAAAACCCAAACCCUGGGGCCGUGGAGGUGUUCACGCUGCUGCUUUGCCCUGUGUGCCUCUGCCUCCAUCGCGAGCGGCUCUUGUGGGGGGCUGGCAAACCCCUCCGAGGAAACAAAAGCAUCUCACAACGUCUGCGUUCAACUCAAACCACAUCUUCAGGGAUUCUGAGAAGGACUGAAUCCUACCAGGGAAGUUUUGCCAUUCUAUUUCCCCCUCAUCUCCAGUUACUUCCUGCCUUUUGCACAGCUUUGGGCUAGCCAGGUGCUUUCUAGGAGAGAAAAAUCAGAGCUGUUACCACUGUUCAGUCCCAACAACACUUCCAUGGUCUGUUUGGGAUGAGGCCAUCUGGUGAAUCCCCACAACUCAGCCCCUUCACGGUGCAGUGCUCUGCCUGAGCACAUGGUAAAUCUGUGGCGGAGCCAGAAGCCUUAAGAACGAGCCUUGUAUUCAAAGCAAAAUACCCUCCUUCUGCCAAGCCAAGAAAGAGUGAAAGGAGAGGGCAGCAGAUCAUUUCAUCCAUUGGAGGAGAAGGGGGUACAACGCCAUCCAUGGGCUGAUGGUGAGGUUCCUCCCUGCAAAUUCUGUUGUUUGCCCUUCCAUGGGUUGCUCAGCACAACACUGCCCUCAGCUCCUUAUUCGCAUACCUUCCACCCUUCCCUUGCCCCAUCAGCCCCACAGCUGUCUGAAACGUUAUGCAUAAACAAACUACCAUAAGACUAUUUAUUUCAGAGUUUCCAGUAAUCUCUUUUUGUUUCUCCUCCUUCAUAUCUGUGGUCCAGUUUUAAAGAAUCCAACAUGCAAUUUGGAAAGCUGAAUAUUCUGUGAUUCAUCCAUGAUUGUUUCAUAGCAGAUUAAUGUGCUGCUAUAGCAAGAAGACAUAAGUAAUUAGGUGCUCGUUGAUUUAUUUGUUGCUGUUAAUAUUUGUUCACAAUUUAGCCUUUUUUCUUCUAAUGUCUGUGAAUUGCUCAUAAACGACUCUGCUUUUGUUACAGCAGUCAUUAUUUAAUGUAUGUUUGACUGAGCCUGGAAGCAACAUCUCCAGUUUGCUGGGCUUGGUGCAAUGUGAUCAUUCCUGCUCUCAGUCCUUCCACUUGAUGCUGAACAAGCCAACAUCAGAUGCUUGUCACCAAACCCAAUGCCCUGGCUCAAAGCAAAAGCAGUGAGGAAAGCUCCCAGCUGAACCCAACGUUACUCAGGAGAAAAGAGAAACUGUAAAGCAAACUGGAAGAAAAUGGAGCUGUGAGUGUGAACAUACACAGCUCUGUGCCCCUGCAGGAUUAACAAAGGCUGGAACUGAAGACUGAGGACCAGUUCCCUGCAUGCUGCUGCUGUUCUGAUAACAUCUCUCAGAACUCCAAUCUUCGAAGACUAAUUUUAAUGACCUUGGUAGUAAGUUUGGAUUAUUACAGGUUAUUUUUUGUAUUCCAUUGUUCAGCUUCAGCAACAAGGUUAGUAUUUUAUCAUAUCCUCAAUUCAGACUGCUCAGUGAUAAGUGCUGGGCCAUAUGUACGCUUAAUCUUUUCCAGUGCCUGGAAAAAGUUUGACUUUCCCUAUGUUCAGCACAGUAACCUCAGUGUCUGUGGUGUGUUUUUCUCUGGUGAUGUACUAAGUGAAAGUGAAGCUCCCCAGCCAUGCUGCUCCCCACAGAGGGGGAUAUGAGCUGAGAACCACAGAUCUGAGACCUCUGUGUCCCAAGCAUGUUGGAGCUGGGGAAGGAGAGGAGAGGGCACUGCUGUGCAACAGCCUUCACACUGCUAAAAAUGCAUGUAUUUAACCCUCAUCAACAAUUGCUGCCAUUAAAUUCAGCAGUGUAAGCAUGCACAGUUCACAAACAAUCAGUGCAAAGGAAAUUGAAGCCAAUAUUUGAACAGGACAAAACAGUCACCAGACAGAUUCUCAGAGAUAAAAGGAGAAGAGACUCCUAUCAAUACUGUAAUCCACUGCUUCCAGAGUACUACAGUGCACUCUUGACCUGGCACAGGAAUGUAUCCUGAAGGGGAAUAGCAAUUGGUGCAGUGAAAUUGGAGGUCACAACUGGGAGGUGCUCAUUUUGCUCAAUCUCAUUCAACCCACUUUAGAAAGCAAUAAAACAU